CCGGGGCUCAACCUGGGAAGUGCAGAGGAAACGGGCGGACGGGAGGGCGGGAGAGGGGAGGGGAAGGCCCGGUGGAGCAGUGAAAUGCGUAGAUAUCGGGAGGAACAUCCGUGGCGAAGGCGACUACCUGGACCAGCACUGACACUGAGGCACGAAAGCGUGGGGAGCAAA
rnacentral:rRNA from 1 species